GCAAAUCGAACUAACAGUGAGUUUAGAGAUGCAACACAAACCAGGUGGAAAUGUGUCCAAUCAUUUUCUAUCUUGUUGAGUAAAGAGG